rnacentral:rRNA from 1 species
CACCGCGGUUAGACGGGAAGCCCAAGUAGAUAAGUUACGGCGUAAAGUGUGGUUAAGGAAAUAUACUAAAAUAAAGCGGAACACCCUCCAGGCUGUUAUACGUUACUGAGGUUAAAUAAACACAUCUACGAAAGUGGCUUUAAUACUCCCCAUCCACGAAAGCUUUGGCA